CCCAGUACGGCGAGUGAAGCGGCAACAGCUCAAAUUUGAAAUCUGGCUUCUUCGGAGUCCGAGUUGUAAUUUGUAGAGGGUGUUUCGGGCGAGGCGCCGGCCUAAGUUCCUUGGAACAGGACGUCAUAGAGGGUGAGAAUCCCGUAUGCGGCUGGCGACCGACUCCAUGUGAAACCCCUUCGACGAGUCGAGUUGUUUGGGAAUGCAGCUCAAAAUGGGUGGUAUAUUUCAUCUAAAGCUAAAUACCGGCCAGAGACCGAUAGCGCACAAGUAGAGUGAUCGAAAGAUGAAAAGCACUUUGGAAAGAGAGUUAAAAAGUACGUGAAAUUGUUGAAAGGGAAGCGCUUGCAACCAGAUCCGUCUCCGGGUGAUCAGCCUCCGUUUUCGGUGGUGCACUCGCCCGGUUAUGGGCCAGCAUCGGUUUGGGCGGUUGGAUAAAGGCCAGAGGAACGUAGCUCCCCCCGGGGAGUGUUAUAGCCUCGGUGUCAUGCAGCCAGCCCGGACCGAGGAUCGCGCUUCGGCUAGGAUGCUGGCGUAAUGGUUGUAAGCGGCCCGUCUUGAAACACGGACCAAGGAGUCUAAUAUUUAUGCGAGUGUUUGGGUGUUAAACCCAUGCGCGGAAUGAAAGUGAACGGAGGUGGGAACCCUU
rnacentral:rRNA from 1 species